UACAGAGGUGGCAAGCGUUGUUCGGAAUUACUGGGCGUAAAGGCGCGUAGGCGGCCUUCUAAGUCAGACGUGAAAUCCCCCGGCUUAACCUGGGAACUGCGUCUGAUACUGGAGGGCUUGAGUGCGGGAGAGGGAUGUGGAAUUCCAGGUGUAGCGGUGAAAUGCGUAGAUAUCUGGAGGAACACCGGUGGCGAAGGCGGCAUCCUGGACCGACACUGACGCUGAGGCGCGAAAGCUAGGGUAGCAAACGGG
rnacentral:rRNA from 1 species